UACGUAGGGGACGAGCGUUGUCCGGAUUUAUUGGGCGUAAAGAGCGUGUAGGCGGCCAGGUAGGUCCGUUGUGAAAACUCGAGGCUCAACCUCGAGACGUCGGCGGAAACCCUCUGGCUAGAGUCCGGAAGAGGAGAGUGGAAUUCCUGGUGUAGCGGUGAAAUGCGCAGAUAUCAGGAAGAACACCCGUGGCGAAGGCGGCUCUCUGGGCCGAUACUGACGCUGAGGAGCGAAAGCGUGGGGAGCGAACAGG
rnacentral:rRNA from 1 species